CAGUCGCCACGGUAAUACGAGGGGGGCAAGCGUUGUUCGGAAUUAUUGGGCGUAAAGGGUGCGUAGGCGGUUUGACAAGUUCUAUGUGAAAUCUAUGGGCUCAACCCAUAGUCUGCAUGGAAAACUGUCAGGCUUGAGGAUGGGAGAGGUGAGUGGAAUUUCCGGUGUAGCGGUGAAAUGCGUAGAUAUCGGAAGGAACACCUGUGGCGAAAGCGGCUCACUGGACCAUUUCUGACGCUGAUGCACGAAAGCUAGGGGAGCAAACAGGAUUAGAUACCCCCGUAGUCCCUGUCUCUUAUAC
rnacentral:rRNA from 1 species